CUGUAGCUUUACUUACGUAUAGUGAGUAGGCUUCUCGGUUUGCGGAGAAGCAUUGGCCGCCGUUUUCGAAACCGACGGCAUUUUCAGUCAAAACAAUCCAAUACGCAUGCGCGUCAUCCUGCUGCUUGCAUACCAAGCAGAGCCCGUCCCCCACGCUCCUAACAAGCAACGUGCGCCCUGUGUGCCUUUCUCAAUAAUUAUUAUCUAUUUACUGGAAGGCCACAGCAGCCAAAUUCAUUCUGUUUAAUUGAUAAUUAUACGAAAGCGAUUGUCGUUUAUUCUCUUUGAUGCAUGGAGCUUGCUUGUACUACAGCCACUUAGUUUAUUUUUCUGUUAUUUGUUGUGCUUACUGUUUGUUUAUUCAUUUGCUUGGGUCUUCUGACAUGCUAUUUCCUCAGCAGCGACAACUAUAUAUUUAACAAUAUUUAGCAUGCAUAUGUUUGUGUGUGUGUGUGUGUGUGUGUGUGUGUGUGUGUGUGUGUGUGUGUGUGUGUGUGUGUGUGUGUGUGUGUGUGUGUGUGUGUGUGUGUGUGUGUGUGUGUGAGAGAGAAGUAACCAAAGGGAGAACUAAGAUCUAAAGCGUACAAGUCGGCAAGUACAGUUCCCUUUCCGGUUCUAGUGAUCAAGUGUCAUAGUGGAGCGAGCUUUUACCUAGCUAACGGACGACAGAAAAACAACACAGCACUUAGUGGUAUUUUUUUGCAACUUAGGUACGACUCUCCGAUCAGAUACCCCUCAUAUGGUACGAGAGCUCAAAUCAAGUUCUGGACGACGACGG